CCUGGGAUAUUUCAACACUGUGGUGUGAAGGAAAGACACAAUUCUAAAAACCAUGAAACCAGAAACACAUUCCUUUUGUGGGGGGAGUUUAUUGGCUUAUCUACAUACCAUUUUUUUUUUGGCCAAUAAACAAAAGGCAAACUGGUUUAAACAUUUGUCGAAAUUAUCAUCUAGCUGACCAGACUUGUUUCCCAGUGAUUUCCUGAUUUUGUGUGCUUUUUCUCUAAAGUCAGUAAAAAAGUUAAAAUUUAUGCAUUCAGUCUUAGUCACAACUGAGAUUACGGUUUGAGCUGAUAAAAAUAAACAUCAACUUUGUCAUAUAAUUGAUCCCCAGUCAUUGUUUUGAUACAGUUUUAUUGAUAAUUACCUUCAAGGAUUGAGAAGCAGAGCUCUGACUGGCCCUGAAGACAGGAUGAUACCAGGAAUACCCUAUCGCCAACUCCAGGAGCUGUUCAAUCCAUCCAUCAGUAGACCUUUGGAAAAUGGCCAAUCUUGGGUCAGCACUGUGCUGCCUGACCCAGCUUCCCAAACUGGGAAACAUAUUCUCACCUGGGAUACUUAACUAUGAGCCAGAGAGAACAUGAAGCCAUGAGAAAAAGAAGAUCUUUCUGCUAUUUUUUAUUCCAUGUUCAAUAAAGUUAAAACAGCUUUCUAUAAAAAUAAUAAAUGAAAUAUAUUACAGAAU
rnacentral:lncRNA from 1 species